rnacentral:rRNA from 1 species
UACGGAGGGUGCGAGCGUUAAUCGGAAUUACUGGGCGUAAAGGGCGCGUAGGCGGUUCAGUGAGUCGGAUGUGAAAGCCCUGGGCUUAACCUGGGAAUGGCAUUCGAUACGGCUGGGCUAGAGUAUGGUAGAGGGAAGUGGAAUUUCCGGUGUAACGGUGAAAUGUGUAGAGAUCGGAAGGAACACCAGUGGCGAAGGCGACUUCCUGGACCAAUACUGACGCUCAAGCGCGAAAGCGUGGGGAUCAAACAGG